rnacentral:misc_RNA from 1 species
GGAAGGAUCAUUACUGAAUGACCUGCACCACUGGGAAGGCCUUGGUCUACUGUGGCAGGUGAUAAACAAACACUGUGCACCCUCUUGUAGUAGACCAUACGAUCAACUCUCAACAGGAAUCUGAUGAAAUGGGGGUGGCGCCACUUGAUUGCUCGUUGCCUGAAAUUGGGUUGUGUGAUGUUGCAAAUGUCACCCACCACCUGGUGGCCCGAUUCGGAUUGCGUGACUUUCAAAGGUUGAAGUCAUCACCUCACUGGUGGAUGACCUCUUGAUGAUGCCCCAUGGCGUCUGAUGCCGGCUGUGGAUGUCUGUGAUAUCUCCCACUCAUGUUGUGUGGUCUGGCAAGGCGGUGGGCACUAAGUCUGGGAGGUCGAAGUUGGUCAGAUGUCAGAUGCUGUUGCGUGCUGUGGUCUCCUAUGUCUUUCUUAUUAUUUCACCACACAAAACCUGUCGUCGUAUGGUGUUGUUGCCCUCAAACAUAUAAUAUAACUUUCAACAACGGAUCUCUUGGCUCUCGCAUCGAUGAAGAACGCAGCGAAAUGCGAUAAGUAAUGUGAAUUGCAGAAUUCAGUGAAUCAUCGAAUCUUUGAACGCACCUUGCGCUCCUUGGCAUUCUGAGGAGCAUGCCUGUUUGAGCGUCAUUGAAUACUCAGAAUCCUACCUGAUCAUUCAUUCUUGAAUGACAAAGGACUGUGGAUUGUGGAGGAUGCAUUGCUGCCUCAAUUAGGGGGUCCCUUUGCUUCUCUGAAAUGGAUUGGUGUUACGGCUGUGGUCACGAACCUGCUGCCGGUAUGAUACACAUGUCUCACCUGCAUCUAACCCGUCCCGGCUGCGCCUAACCCGUGAGAGAAGCCAAAUGAUCUCACGAUUUGACCUCAAAUCAGGCAGGACUACCCGCUGAACUUAAGCAUAUCAAUAAGCGGAGGAAAAGAAACUAACAAGGAUUCCCCUAGUAACUGCGAGUGAAGCGGGAAGAGCUCAAAUUUAAAAUCUGGCAGCCUCUGGCCGCCCGAGUUGUAAGCUAGAGAAGUGCCAUCCGCGCUGGGGCCAUGUACAAGUCUCCUGGAACGGAGCGUCACGGAGGGUGAGAACCCCGUCUCUGACAUGGACCUCCCAGGGCAUCGCGAUCGCACUCUCAAAGAGUCGAGUUGUUUGGGAAUGCAGCUCCAAAUGGGUGGUAAACUCCAUCUAAAGCUAAACAUUGGCGAGAGACCGAUAGCGAACAAGUACCGUGAGGGAAAGAUGAAAAGAACUUUGGAAAGAGAGUUAAACAGUACGUGAAAUUGUUGAAAGGGAAACGCUUGAAGUCAGCCGCGUCAGCCUGGGAUCAGCCCCGCAACCGCGAGGGUGCACUCCCUGGUCGACGGGUCAGCACCAGUUUCGACCGCUGGAGAAAGGUUGGGGGAAUGUGGCAUCCUUGGAUGUGCUUAUAGCCCCUGAUCACAUGCAUCGGUCGGGAUUGAGGAACUCAGCGUGCCGCAAGGCCGGGUCUCAGACCACGUCCGCGCUCAGGAUGCUGGCACAAUGGCUUUAAUCGACCCGUCUUGAAACACGGACCAAGGAGUCUAACAUGCCUGCGAGUGUUUGGGUGGAAAACCCACACGCGCAAUGAAAGUGAAAGUUGAGAUCCCCGUCGUGGGGAGCAUCGACGCCCGGACCAGACCUGCUGUGACGGAUCCGCGGUGGAGCAUGCAUGUUGGGACCCGAAAGAUGGUGAACUAUGCCUGAAUAGGGCGAAGCCAGAGGAAACUCUGGUGGAGGCUCGUAGCGAUUCUGACGUGCAAAUCGAUCGUCGAAUUUGGGUAUAGGGGCGAAAGACUAAUCGAACCAUCUAGUAGCUGGUUCCUGC